rnacentral:piRNA from 1 species
UGACAAGUAGCGGUCAGUGCUGCCAGCAA